ensembl:lncRNA
CGUAAAAGUAACAAAUGUUCUGACAACGGUAGGAUCAUAUCAUUAGUGAGGUCUAUCCUUACCUGUGGUUCUUUAAAAGAGAACUUCAGAACAUGAUGAUUGGAGAUCUUAUGAGAUAUGAUUAUAUCUCCUCCUGGAUGAGCGCAACAACUCUCCAGGUUUCCAUUCUGACUAUAACAAACUGUAAAACAAAUACAUAUAUCUGUAAUACAGCCUACAUCACAGGUGUGUACUGUCCUCAAAACAAACGGACAAUGAAG